rnacentral:tRNA from 1 species
GGUAGAGAGGUGUAACCCUAUAACGGCUGGCUCUUAACCAGUAGGUCGUGGGUUCAAAUCCCACCAGGCCCG